rnacentral:rRNA from 1 species
UACGUAGGGUGCAAGCGUUGUCCGGAAUUAUUGGGCGUAAAGAGCUCGUAGGCGGUUUGACAAGUCUGAUGUGAAAUCUCUGGGCUCAACCCAGAGUCUGCAUUAGAAACUGUCGGGCUUGAGUAUGGGAGAGGUGAGUGGAAUUUCCGGUGUAGCGGUGAAAUGCGUAGAUAUCGGAAGGAACACCUGUGGCGAAAGCGGCUCACUGGACCAUAACUGACGCUGAGGCGCGAAAGCUAGGGGAGCAAACAGG